AUUGAACGCUGGCGGCAGGCCUAACACAUGCAAGUCGAACGAGGGGCGGAAGGGUGAGAAAUGUCUGGGUCACCGCCUGAUGGAGGGGGAUCACCACUGGACACUGUAUCUAAUACCGUAUACUCGCGGAUGCUCCCAUAUGGGAUUGUCUUGUUGGUGGGGUAACGGCUCACCAAGGCGACGAUCCCUAGCUGGUCUGAGAGGAUGACCAGCCACACUGGAACUGAGACACGGUCCAGACUCCUACGUGAGGCAGCAGUGGGGAAUAUUGCACAAUGGGCGCAAGCCUGAUGCAGCCAUGCCGCGUGUAUGAAGAAGGCCUUAGGGUUGUAAAGUACUUUCAGCGGGGAGGCGUUACCCGCAGAAGAAGCACCGGCUAACUCCGUGCCAGCAGCCGCGGUAAUUC
rnacentral:rRNA from 1 species